rnacentral:ncRNA from 1 species
UUGGCAAAAUAGUCUCGUAACUUCAGGAGGAGUGCCUCCUCACAAAGGGAGUUGUAGUGACCAGGCCCACUUGACACUUCACCAAAAACAUAGGUCUCUGCAAAGUCGUAAGACCAUGUAUGGGGGCUGACGCCUGCCCAGUGCCGGAAGGUCAAGGAAGUUGGUGACCUGAUAAGAGAGGAAAUGGCGACUAAAGCCCCAGUGAACGGCGAUCGUAACUAUAAUGGUCCUAAGGUAGCAAAAUUCUUUGUCAGGUAAGUUCCGACUUGCACGAAAGGUAUAACGAUUUGGGCACUA